GAUGAACGCUGGCGGCGUGCCUAAUACAUGCAAGUCGAGCGAAUGGAUUAAGAGCUUGCUCUUAUGAAGUUAGCGGCGGACGGGUGAGUAACACGUGGGUAACCUGCCCAUAAGACUGGGAUAACUCCGGGAAACCGGGGCUAAUACCGGAUAACAUUUUGAACCGCAUGGUUCGAAAUUGAAAGGCGGCUUCGGCUGUCACUUAUGGAUGGACCCGCGUCGCAUUAGCUAGUUGGUGAGGUAACGGCUCACCAAGGCAACGAUGCGUAGCCGACCUGAGAGGGUGAUCGGCCACACUGGGACUGAGACACGGCCCAGACUCCUACGGGAGGCAGCAGUAGGGAAUCUUCCGCAAUGGACGAAAGUCUGACGGAGCAACGCCGCGUGAGUGAUGAAGGCUUUCGGGUCGUAAAACUCUGUUGUUAGGGAAGAACAAGUGCUAGUUGAAUAAGCUGGCAUCUUGACGGUACCCAACCAGAAAGCCACGGCUAACUACGUGCCAGCCGCCGCGGUAA
rnacentral:rRNA from 1 species